ensembl:lncRNA
AGUAGUAGUAGUAUAUAUAUAUACAGUGUUCAUUUGGAGACCUAGGUCUGGUUUGAACACAUUAUCACCAUUGUAGUGCACAUAAUUGCAUAAAGACCUGUUGAUUACUCCGGUUUCUUCUGACCCCUAGUGUUUGGAUAAAGCAAACACAACACAGUGCAGCAGAACAGUGCGCCAGAUCCUGAAGUGUGUGUUGAGCAUCAGCUCAUCUCCAUCUCUCUCCCUCGCUCUCUCUCUCUCUCUCUCUCUCUCUCUCUCUCUCUCUCUCUCUCUCUGUGACCUUGCAUGGGUGCAAUCUCCUCAAUCAUUUAAUCAUCCACAAACCAACACAGCAUUCAUGGACUGUCCGUUGGAGAGGAUUUACAGCUGAAGAACAUUUGUGCAUCGCUGUACGCAGAGAUGAGUUGAUUGAAGAAAGUUCUUAUCUUUCUCGUGGUCAGACUUUGGAGAUCUGGAUAGUUUUAUUUCCUCAAAAGCAAAAACGCACGUGCUUCGUUUUGGUUUUGUUGACCGGAUUGAGCUUCAUUAGCCUAUAGGUCACCUCGACCCCUGACGACGCGCACGAGCACAUCACAACGCGUCUUGGCGCGCGCCCAUGCGGACGCCGCGGAUUGGCUCCGAGCGGCUCGGCGGCGGUGGCGGAGUCUCGCGUGCGUCCGGCUCUCUUGAACGGCUCGCGUCCGCGCAGCUGACAUGCAGUCCUUAAUUUCUCCGGUGACCAAAGCGAUCUUGGUUGCCUUGUUCAUUUUCGCCAUCUUGCUCAUCCUCUACGUGAUCCUGUGGUACAUAUGUCGUGACGUGGACUGCGACCACGGCAUCUGAUCGCGCGGAUCACGCGUGGGGUUUUUUUUUCUUCUUCUUUAAUGAUUUCCUUUUUCUAGAGGACGCGAGCCGCCUUGGGAACGGGGAUGACCCCGCUGUGGUGAGUGCACCAUUCACCUUCUGCCACCAGCAUUUCAGUGCAUGCCAAAUCAGAGCAACUCCACUGCAUUGUUUAAAGAUUUGAUCAUAUUUUAUAUUGUGUGUGUGUGUGCUUUGGAGGUUAUUUAAUGCAUGGUACAUCCUUUCGAGCUCGUGCAACAUUUUUCCCACAUGUUGCUGCAAGCCGGGCACAACAAAAAGAGGGUCAGCCAGAUACCUGCUCUUAUGCAAAACGUUUUUUUUGUUUUUCCCCCUACAAAUAUAUAUUCUGGCGACAUGCAUGCAUUUUUAGGCUGUAUGAUGAGAAGCCGAGCGCGCGCCUUUCAUGCAGCUUCACCAUAAAGUUAUGCACAACGAGCGUCUUGUUCCGUGCCAAGUGUGCGUUCCUACAGGUGACAAGAGGUCGAUGCUAGUAAAAGUGGAACGCAAAUCUGUAGAUCCCAAUGCUUUUGCCAUAACAAUGAAUUAUGACACGGUUUGGAACCUCGAGUACCUGUCCCCCUUAUGCUUAUUAGCAUGCCAAGGUUCGUGCAAGCGCACUAAAUAUUGACAUUGCACAUGCAUUGAAGCAUGGUACUGUACUAGUCUAUACUGUUUAGUGCUGUAGUAGAGUAUGCUGUAAAGACGCGGUGGGGAAAAAACCAAUCUCCAAACCGUGAGAUACACCGGGUCUGUUCCCCCACCCAACAUUGAUUUAUUUCCCCUUCACGCUGGAGAAAAACGUUAAGCGCUGUGACUCACCGAUUUUUUAAUCCUCGCGCUAUGAACGUGAGGAGAAUCGCAAACGCGCUUUCGCACGCGCAUCGUAUAUGCGAAAGUCGCCGCGUGAGGCAGCGGACAAACCCGUACGACCCGGCGCGUGAGCCUGGAACGGGCAUCAGUGCAGUACCACACACACACACACCACAUCAAAACACAAAACAUCACAUCCUAACACAGCACACCAGAGAGCGCAAAUACAAGCGGAAAUGCGCAUACAUUUUGCGCCGUGAAGGACGAAUAGAGGGCAUGCAAAACGGUUUGCACGCUUUUCUGCGCCUUUCUGCUCAUUUCCCUUGACAUCUGUGCAAAAUUAACUGGUGCGUUAUUGAGUUUUGGUGUCUAAAAAAAGC